AACGAACGCUGGCGGCAUGCCUAACACAUGCAAGUCGAACGAAGUCUUCGGACUUAGUGGCGCACGGGUGCGUAACGCGUGGGAAUCUGCCCUUGGGUACGGAAUAACUCAGAGAAAUUUGUGCUAAUACCGUAUAAUGUCGUAAGACCAAAGAUUUAUCGCCCAAGGAUGAGCCCGCGUAAGAUUAGCUAGUUGGUAGGGUAAAAGCCUACCAAGGCGACGAUCUUUAGCUGGUCUGAGAGGAUGAUCAGCCACACUGGGACUGAGACACGGCCCAGACUCCUACGGGAGGCAGCAGUGGGGAAUAUUGGACAAUGGGCGAAAGCCUGAUCCAGCAAUGCCGCGUGAGUGAUGAAGGCCUUAGGGUUGUAAAGCUCUUUUACCAGGGAUGAUAAUGACAGUACCUGGAGAAUAAGCUCCGGCUAACUCCGUGCCAGCAGCCGCGGUAAGAGUGUGUGUA
rnacentral:rRNA from 1 species